UACGGAGGGUGCAAGCGUUAUCCGGAUUCACUGGGUUUAAAGGGUGCGUAGGUGGGUCUGUAAGUCCGUGGUGAAAUCUCCAAGCUUAACUUGGAAACUGCCAUGGAUACUAUAGGUCUUGAAUACCGUGGAGGUGAGCGGAAUAUGUCAUGUAGCGGUGAAAUGCUUAGAUAUGACAUAGAACACCAAUUGCGAAGGCAGCUCACUACACGAAUAUUGACACUGAGGCACGAAAGCGUGGGGAUCAAACAGGA
rnacentral:rRNA from 1 species